rnacentral:rRNA from 1 species
GACGAACGCUGGCGGCGUGCCUAAUACAUGCAAGUCGAGCGAACAGACGAGGAUUUUGCUCCUCUGACGUUAGCGGCGGACGGGUGAGUAACACGUGGAUAACCUACCUAUAAGACUGGGAUAACUUCGGGAAACGGGAGCUAAUACCGGAUAAUAUAUUGAACCGCAUGGUUCAAUAGUGAAAGACGGUUUUGCUGUCACUUAUAGAUGGUUCCGCGCCGCAUUAGCUAGUUGGUAAGGUAACGGCUUACCAAGGCAACGAUGCGUAGCCGGCCUGGGAGGGUGAGCGGCCACACUGGAACUGAGACACGGUCCAGACUCCUACGGGAGGCAGCAGUAGGGAAUCUUCCGCAAUGGGCGAAAGCCUGACGGAGCAACGCCGCGGGAGUGAUGAAGGUCUUCGGAUCGUAAAACUCUGUUAUUAGGGAAGAACAAAUGUGUAAGUAACUAUGCGCGUCUUGACGGUACCUAAUCAGAAAGCCACGGCUAACUACGUG